UGAGCUAUGUGAUAUUUUCUUCCAGAUCUCGACGAAAACUUGAAAGCUGGCGAUAAAAGUCUUGAUGAUAUUCUCCCCCGUGGCAAUGUCCAACCCAACCCCUCCCCUCCACGUUCCUUUGGUUCAUUCACCUCAUCAUCAGUAACACGUGAUAGCAAUGGCGUAAGUUUAUCCAAACAUAUAUGAUCCACUAAUGCCAAAAGUAUAAUGGGAAUAAGAUAUUUUAUACGGUGAAAUGCAUUACAGAUCAUGAAAAUUCCUGGAAUGGUCAAAAUGUGCUAUGGUGUGCGCAUCUUGCCGUUCGCGCUUGGAAUGUACAGUUGACUAUGACAACCGUAAUUGAAAUAGUAAAUAAACACAAUGUAAUAAACGUUCUGGGCAUCCAUUAGCCCAUUAAAUAGUGUGUGUUUUCUUUACUUAUUAUAGGUUGUUGAAAGCAAGAAAACAGUGAGAUAUUCAAGGGGGAAUGAAGAGACCUAUGGUAGGAGGGGGAAUGAAGAGACCUAUGAGACCUAUGGUAACAGUA